CUUGGUCAUUUAGCGCAUGCGUUUAACUAUAUGGCAGACCAGCUAAAGCGCUCAAAAGAAAAUUCAGAGAAGCUGACCGAGAGCCUCAUGGCAGCAAUUCAGAUACGCGAUGAUUUCUUAUCCAUAGCCGGUCAUGAACUAAGAACCCCGCUGACGCCCUUACGUGCAGUAAUGCAAAUAUUGGUGCGGCA
rnacentral:misc_RNA from 1 species